rnacentral:rRNA from 1 species
GACGAACGCUGGCGGCGUGCUUAACACAUGCAAGUCGAACGGUGAAGGGACCGGUUUUUGCUGGUUCUGGAUGAGUGGCGCACGGGUGAGUAACACGUGAGUAACCUGCCCCCUUCUUCUGGAUAACCGCAUGAAAGUGUGGCUAAUACGGGAUAUUCUGCGCCUGCUGCAUGGUGGGUGUGGGAAAGAUAUUGUUUCGGUGGGGGAUGGGCUCGCGGCCUAUCAGCUUGUUGGUGGGGUGAUGGCCUACCAAGGCGGUGACGGGUAGCCGGCCUGAGAGGGUGGACGGUCACACUGGGACUGAGACACGGCCCAGACUCCUACGGGAGGCAGCAGUGGGGAAUAUUGCACAAUGGGCGCAAGCCUGAUGCAGCGACGCCGCGGGAGGGAUGGAGGCCUUCGGGUUGUAAACCUCUUUCGCCAGUGAAGCAGGCCUGUCCCUUUUGUGGGUGGGUUGACGGUAGCUGGAUAAGAAGCGCCGGCUAACUACGUG